AUUGAACGCUGGCGGCAGGCCUAACACAUGCAAGUCGAACGAGUGGCGGACGGGUGAGUAAUGUCUGGGAAACUGCCCGAUGGAGGGGGAUAACUACUGGAAACGGUAGCUAAUACCGCAUACCAUCGGAUGUGCCCAGAUGGGAUUAGCUAGUUGGUGGGGUAACGGCGCACCUAGGCGACGAUCCCUAGCUGGUCUGAGAGGAUGACCAGCCACACUGGGACUGAGACACGGUCCAGACUCCUACGGGAGGCAGCAGUGGGGAAUAUUGGACAAUGGGCGAAAGCCUGAUGGAGCCAUGCCGCGUGUAUGAAGAAGGCCUUCGGGUUGUAAAGUACUUUCAGCGGGGAAGCGUUACCUACAGAAGAAGCAACGGCUAACUACGUGCCAGCAGCCGCGGUAAUUC
rnacentral:rRNA from 1 species